rnacentral:rRNA from 1 species
UACAGAGGGGGGCAAGCGUUUGUUCGGAAUUACUGGGCGUAAAGGGCGCGUAGGCGGCCCGCUAAGUCGAACGUGAAAUCCCCGAGCUCAACUCGGGAACUGCGUCCGAUACUGGCGGGCUUGAAUCCGGGAGAGGGAUGCGGAAUUCCAGGUGUGGCGGUGAAAUGCGUAGAUAUCUGGAGGAACACCGAUGGCGAAGGCAGCCCCCCUGGGCCAACACUGACGCUCAGGCACGAAAGCGUGGGGGAGCAAACAGG